UACGUAGGGGGCAAGCGUUGUCCGGAAUCAUUGGGCGUAAAGCGCGUGUAGGCGGCUCGGUAAGUCUGCUGUGAAAGUUCAGGGCUCAACCCUGAAAUGCCGGUGGAAACUGCCGAGCUAGAGUACGGAAGAGGCGAGUGGAAUUCCUGGUGUAGCGGUGAAAUGCGCAGAUAUCAGGAGGAACACCAGUGGCGAAGGCAGCUCGCUGGGACGUUACUGACGCUGAGACGCGAAAGCGUGGGGAGCAAACAGG
rnacentral:rRNA from 1 species